rnacentral:tRNA from 1 species
UCCCAGGUGGCUUAGGGGUAAAGAUUCCAUCUGCCAAGGAGGAGAUGCAGGUUCAAUACCUGCAUUGGGAA